UACAGAGACCUCAAGCGUUAUCCGGAUUUAUUGGGCGUAAAGCGUCCGCAGACUGUUCGUUAAGUCCUGUGUCAAAUCUUUGGGCUCAACCCAAAGGCUGCGUGGGAAACUGGCGAGCUAGAGGAUGGGAGAGGUAAGCGGAAUUACCGGUGUAGUAGUAAAAUGCGUUAAUAUCGGUAAGAACACCAAAGGCGAAGGCAGCUUACUGGAACAUUCCUGACGUUAAGGGACGAAAGCACGGGGAGCGAAGCGG
rnacentral:rRNA from 1 species